rnacentral:rRNA from 1 species
AUUGAACGCUGGCGGCAUGCCUUACACAUGCAAGUCGAACGGUAACGGGCCUUCGGGUGCCGACGAGUGGCGAACGGGUGAGUAAUGUAUCGGAACGUACCUUUCAGUGGGGGAUAACGUAGCGAAAGUUACGCUAAUACCGCAUAUUCUGUGCGCAGGAAAGCAGGGGACCUUCGGGCCUUGCGCUGAUUGAGCGGCCGAUAUCAGAUUAGCUAGUUGGUGAGGUAAAGGCUCACCAAGGCGACGAUCUGUAGCGGGUCUGAGAGGAUGAUCCGCCAAACUGGAACUGAGACACGGUCCAGACUCCUACGGGAGGCAGCAGUGGGGAAUUUUUGACAAUGGGGGCAACCCUGAUCCAGCCAUGCCGCGUGAGUGAAGAAGGCCUUCGGGUUGAAAAGCUCUUUCGGCCGGGAAGAAAUCGUAUCAGCUAAUACCUGGUGCGGAUGACGGUACCGGCAUAAGAAGCACCGGCUAACUACGUGCCAGCCGCCGCCGUAACAC